AUUAAUUUCUAAAGCCAAGUCGCCGUUGACGAUGAAUCUUUCAUCUCGUCAUUAUCUCUCAGUCCUACCAAGUUUUCCCUUUUCACAUCUCACAAUUUCGUUUUACAAUUUUCUCCGUGUUAAUUAGCGAAAACGAGCUAAUCGGCACCAUGUCGACGUCUUCCUCUGGCAAGAAGUACGAUGUUUUCAUUAGCUUCAGAGGCGAGGACACCCGUACCGGCUUCACAAGCCAUCUACGCUCUGCUCUUGAGCGACAGAAGAUAGAAAUAUACAUAGAUACCAAGAUGAAGAGAGGAGAAGAGGUUUGGCCCGAACUCUCCCAAGCAAUCAAGAACUCACACAUGUCCAUCGUGGUUUUCUCCGAAAACUAUGCUUCUUCAAAAUGGUGCCUGAGAGAGCUGGUCAAAAUAAUGGAAUGCAGAAGCAAACAGGAGCAGGUAGUUAUACCUGUGUUCUAUAAGACAGAUCCGUCACACGUACGGAAGCAGACAGGGAGUUAUGGGGAAGCACUUGCGAACCUUGAGCCAGAUCUAAGGAAAGAUGUGCCCUUCCAGGUGGAGGUGUCUAGUUGGAAAAAGGCUCUCAACAAAGCUGCCAAUUUAUCUGGAUGGGACUCUAAUAAGUACAGGGAGGACGAGUCUCAACUUGUCGAGGAUAUUGUUAAGGAUAUUAGGACAAAGCUGUACCAGAAAUGCCCCAAUAAAAUAGAAGGUGUCAUUGGAAAUGAUGAAGUCUUUGAAGAACUUGAGUCAUUGCUGAAACAGCAUUCAGUAAUUGGAAUUUGGGGCAUGGGUGGAGUAGGUAAGACAACCAUUGCUAGAGCUCUGUUUGCCAAACACUUUCCCCGAUAUGACAGUUCAUGCUUCUUGGAAGGUGUAAGAGAAAAAUUUGACAGACGUGGGAAGACAUACUUACUUGACAAGCUUCUCAGUUUGCUAAAUGAACCAAUUCAUUCGUGUGAUUUUGAAAAAUCCUCCUCAAUUAAGAAAAAGAUCAGGAGUUCGAACGUUUUCAUUGUACUUGAUGAUGUGAGUUGUGUUGACCAAUUAGAAGUUUUACUUCAAGAGGUCGGUGACAUACACCAACGUAGCAGACUCAUUAUAACGACAAGAGAUAGGGACAUACUUCAAGGAUGGAAAGUUAAUGAAAUAUAUGAGCUCAAGGUGUUGAAUGACUCUGAUUCUCUAAAUCUUUUUAGCUUACAUGCCUUUGAGAAAGAACUUCCUGAAGAGAAAUUUAAGGAUCUCUCAGAAAAAGCAGUUCGUUAUGCUGGCGGGCUUCCAUUAGCUUUAAAAGUUUUUGGAAGAUUUCUGCAUACAAAAAAUCUCAAGUUUUGGGAAGAUGCAUUGAGAAAAAUCGAGAAGUAUCCCCUUGAUGGAGUUCAGAGGGUGUUACAAGUGAGUUUUGACGGAUUGGAUAAACAAGAGAAGGACAUAUUUUUAGACAUUGCAUUCUUUUUCAAGGGAGAAGAUGCGGACCUUACCAAAAGGAUGCUUAGCGCUAGUGGUUUGAAUGCAGAAUGUGGAAUAGACACGCUUGUCAAUAAAGCUCUAAUAACAAUAUCAUCCAACAAUAAAAUACGGAUGCAUGACUUGUUGCAACAAGUGGGUUGGAAGAUAGUUAGUGAAGAAUGUGAGGACCCCAGUGGACGAAGUCGACUAAGGGAUAGGGAAGACGUUUCUGAUGCGCUGCAAUCUGAAAAAGAGGCUCCAAUGGUUAAAGGCAUAACAUUAAACUCAUUUGAAAUUGAUUUCGACUUGAGUGCUAAUGCAUUCAACAAGAUGAUCAAUUUAAGAUUUCUUAGAUUCGGUAAAUCAAUAUCAUGGAAUGUGUCCCAUCUUGAACUUCUCAAGUCCAUUUCCAAUAAGUUGGUGUACUUUGAAUGGAAUGGAUACCCUUUUAAGUCUCUUCCACCAAAAUUUGGUGCUAAGCUGCUCUUUGAGAUUCACUUGCGGGACAGCAAUGUUGAAGAACUUUGGCAGCAAGUGCAGGAUCUUGAGAAUUUAGAGAAAAUUGACCUAAGUGGAUGUAAAAAGUUGAUGAAGCUUCCAAAUUUGUCUAAGGCGCCUAAACUUAAAUGGGUGUAUCUCUCAGGUUGUGAAAGUUUAUGUGCCAUACAUGUAUCUGAUUUAUCUGUGGAUAAACUUGUUACUUUGAAGAUGGAUGGGUGCAAAAAACUAGAGAGACUUGAAUGUAAGAAGCAUUUACCAUCUUUGAAGGAAAUCAAUCUUGAUGGCUGCUUAAGUCUUGAGGAAUUUUCAGUGACAUCAGAUUUACUUGAAAGGUUGGAUUUAAGCAAUACAGGAAUCAAGAAAUUGUGCUCAUCAAUUGGGCGUCUUCACAAGCUUGUGUGGCUCAAUCUUGAAGGUUUAGGACUUGAGAAUCUUCCAGAUGAAUUAUCUUCCCUGAAAUCUCUUGAGGAGCUUAAAAUAUCUAGCAAUGAAUCGAUUAACAAACAGAAGCUACAUGUCCUAUGCAGCGGCCUACAGGCUUUAAAAAUACUACAUUUGAAGCAAUGUGAUAAACUCUGUGAACUCCCUGACAACAUCAGUUUCUUAUCUCAGCUUAAUGAAUUAAGGCUAGAUGGAAGCAGUGUGGAGAAGCUGCCGGCAAGCAUCAAGAAUCUUAAGGAGUUGGAGAUUCUGUCCUUAAAGAAUUGCUGCAAGAUUCGGUCUCUACCAGAGCUCCCACCAUUAAUCAAAGAGUUUUGGGCAGAUAAUUGCACAUCCUUGGAGUCGGUAUCGACUUUGAUGAGUUUUUUAGGGAAAAUGAAAGGAAAGGACACACUCAUUUCAUUAAAAAAAUGCACGAAACUGAGUGAAAAUUCAGUUGAGAUCAUUGAGGAAUGCGCCCAGUUAAUAAUGAUGAACGAUGCAUUUUUUAAUGCAUCAAACUGCUAUAAAUACAAUACAAGAGUUGGGGUUUGUUUUGCAGGAAGCAGAGUCCCAAGGGAGUUCGCAUAUCGAAGAACUGAGUCAUCCUCCAUAACCAUUCAACUUCCUGAGCCUUCCAACUGUCUGGGUUUCAUUUACUGUGUGGUUCUUUCAAAGGGGAAGAGUAAUGUUAACAUCCGAUGUCAAUGCUACUCGGCAGAUAGCAGAAAGGUAGGAUGCAGUGGUAUAUUAGAUGGCAAUAUUAUCAGUGAUUCGGCGGAUCAUGUUUAUGUAUGGUAUGAUGCGUUCCAUUGUCGCAGCAUUCUUGAAAAUCAUGAAGUUCAACUUCGUUUUCAAUUCUGUGAAACAACUGAUAAUGGGGAUAACCUUGUUGGAUUGAGUAGUGUCAAAGAGUGCGGGGUCCAGCCGAUACGCAUCUCAGACUUAGACAGUUGUUUACUGUCUCAGGGAUUGAAGGAGGAGUUGACAUUGGAGUUGGGAAAGAAGUUGGGAUUGGUCUUGGAUAUUAUGCAGAGAUAUGCAAAAGUAGAGUCCAGAUUCUUUCUUGCAUUGGAGAAUAGAUGUGAUAUAGAAAUAUCAUUGAUGUUAGAGUAUGCAGAACGAUUUAGUGCAAUGUCAGCCUUACUGAAGAAGGAAAGCAAUGGCGUAGGAACUCAGAUACCAAAUCGAGAAGGGGAGCAGAGUGUACAUGUUCAUGUGACCUUCUAGUUGUUGUCUAGGAAGUGUGACAAAUCAGUAAUCAAACCUCGGAAAUGUGACAUGUGUCGGCUUUAAUUUUGUGCCAUUCCUAGAGAUGAGGUGGCAAAGAGAAGGAAGCGGCUUCAGUAGUGAUCCUAUCCUAAAGAGAGCAGCGUAGUAGGUUGAAGAUGAGCAGAAAGCAACCUCCACCUCACUUUCCUUUCUCUCUUGCACACAAGUCUUUCUUGAGUGAUCUCGUUAACUCUGAUUCCGUCUUCAACCACACACAACUCUUGGAUCUUCUGCUACUCAUACAAUUCAGUUCUUGAAGCUUCUAAGCUC